GGCCCCGUGGUGUACCGGUUAGCACGCAGCCCUUUCAAGGCUGAGGAGAUUCGGGUUCGAUUCCCGCCGGGGCUA
rnacentral:tRNA from 1 species